UACAGAGGUCCCGAGCGUUGUUCGGAUUCACUGGGCGUAAAGGGUGCGUAGGUGGUGAGGUAAGUCGGAUGUGAAAUCUCCGGGCUUAACCCGGAAAUGGCAUUGGAAACUACCUUGCUAGAGGAUUUGAGGGGGGGAUUGGAAUACUUGGUGUAGCAGUGAAAUGCGUAGAUAUCAAGUGGAACACCAGUGGCGAAGGCGAAUCCCUGGAAAAUACCUGACACUGAGGCACGAAAGCU
rnacentral:rRNA from 1 species